AAUCUAUUCCCAGAAUUCCCAAGGUAGCACGGGGAAGUCUGGGAGCUGAAGUUCUAUACAACUUCAAGUUGCUGAGGUUAUAAAGCACUGCUCUGGACACUUCUGAUCAAGUCCCUUUUUAGAAGUAAACCAUUAACAGGAAGAAAACCUCCUCUUGGAAUUUUACUUAGUCUUGCAUGCACCCUUCCUCUGCAUUUCAACAUUAUUUUUGAUAGAUGGAUACUUCUAUUGCUCAUAAUUGCUACUCAAUGGCAGCUGGGAAAUUAAGAGCUUGUGGGUUCUAUCAUCUCCACAACACCCAAGACACAAGAAAAUCUAGUUUUGAAUGGAUCAAAGGUAUUCAAUUCUAGCACAGCAUCUUUUAAAGAAGUUCAAAUUGGAGGUGCCAUGGAACUGCCAAAGCAUUUGGGACACCGUGUUUCAUUUUUACUGUACAUAUUUCAGUUGUUAUAUAUUGCCUAAUGUAUAUUAAAGGCUUUUGAAAGAUUACAGAAAUAUUGUAUGGAAGUCAUGAAAAAAAUGAUUCUGGAGAACCAGUUUUAUUCAGCCAAGAAUCUCUGGAGAUUCAAAACACUAAUGGAAGAACUUUUGGAAAUAAUUGCACUAUAAUAAUGAAAAGUGGAUGACGUGAAUGGAUAUAUAAAUGAUACGUGAAACUGUUUUAAAUGGAAAGUUAAUAAAAGAAUAAAAAUGAAUAGUUCAAAGGAA